rnacentral:tRNA from 1 species
GGGCCUGUGGCGCAACGGUAGCGCGUUGUAAGAACCCCACCGAUUGUCUCUCGUCAGCAAAUAUUAACCUUCUGCAGCGACUCCAGAUCGAAAGGUUGCCAGUUCAAAUCUGACCGGGCUCA